GGCCCUAGCCCACCUUUGUUUGCUUUGGUUACAGCAAUGAGGCCUGGUCGGGGCCGCUGGGCAGUGCGCACGCCUUUCCUUCACAACAGCUGUGGCUGAGUGGGGGCGCAGAUCUGUGUGGUGAGCGUGGAGCCGAAGGGUCGCCCUCACCUCUCAGGACCCAGCAAUCAGGUUCACAUGGAUAACCUGGCAGAGGAGAAAGCAGAGUGGAACGAGGAGUACUGGCAGAACGCCUGGGACCAGGGGGGCCUGGUCGUGAUCAGCUUGUUCAUCUCCAUGGUCCUGUUCCUCAUCUUGUUUGCGGUGAUGUUUGGGGUCCUCCCUCCAUUGGAGAAGGUCAAGUGUGAAGAGCAAUGACUGACUUUUAGGGGACCCAGAGGGAGUCACCUACUAUACACUCUCAUACACCAUGUACCUUUUCCCCCAAGCUCUUUGAACAGUCUAGAAUUAUACAUUUUUUAUGUGAUUCGCUGGUGAGUGCCUGUCUUCCCUCCUGGACCAGGGGAGGGGUCCUGUCCGCCACUACCAAAACCCCCACGCCCAAAGGGCCGGGCACAGAGUCAGAAGCAAUCAACAUCUGCUGGAUGGAGAAAUGAACGAAUGAUCAUCGAGCACACAAAGAACACAACAAGGCUGCUUGGUUGCUGAGCUCCCAGCCCGGUCCCAGGAGACGGCCCAGCCCAGCCCAGCCCAAUGCACACAAAGUGCAAGGCCUCUUGGCUCGAGGUUGCUUCAGACCUAAUCGCUUUUCCUUUCCACACUAGGAGUUUAAAAAGCCCUGCCAUGAAUAAUCAACAUUUCUUUUCCGAGGCCAUACUCAAGAGGAAGGAGAGAGGAAAACCACAACGCCCCUAGGCCUGGCUGGGAUGACCUGAGCAUCUUUCGUUGGUCCAGAGGUACCAGAUAAAAGAGCAAAUCUUCCUGGAUGGUUUCUGCUUUGAAAAUCUUGACACACCCUUCCCUUUCUCAAAGGCACACAUAGUGAUUUCCAUGUGUAUGGUAUGAGGCAGAAAUCUGAUUUUAUCUUUCCCAGCAGCUAUUAUUCAACAGGUCAUCCUUUUCCGAUUGGUUUUUAUGUUAUCUAUCACACACCAACUUUCCUUAUAUACUUGGGUCUGUUUCUGACUCUCUACAAAGAAUGUACAACCAGACUAAAAGCAAAGAACUUAAGACAUCAUGUGGAAGGCUUCUGUAACAACGCUAAUUAAAACAAGGUGGGCAUCAUAAUGACGACGUACAAGAAUGUGCACACGAAAGACCAUUAAGAGAAACAUAAAAAUAAAAAAAUUAGGGGCCUCCCUGGUGGUGCAAG